rnacentral:rRNA from 1 species
GGACGUUGAUAGGCCGGGUGUGUAAGCGCAGCGAUGCGUUGAGCUAACCGGUACUAAUGAACCGUGAGGCUUAACCUUACAACGCCGAAGGUGUUU